rnacentral:rRNA from 1 species
AAACCAACAGGGAUUGCCUUAGUAGCGGCGAGUGAAGCGGCAAGAGCUCAAAUUUGAAAUCUGGUACCUUCGGUGCCCGAGUUGUAAUUUGAAGAAAGCUAUCUUGGAUUUGGCCUUUGUCUAUGUUCCUUGGAACAGGACGUCACAGAGGGUGAGAAUCCCGUGCGAUGAGGUGUCCAUUUCUAUGUAAGAUGUUUUCGAAGAGUCGAGUUGUUUGGGAAUGCAGCUCUAAGUGGGUGGUAAAUUCCAUCUAAAGCUAAAUAUUGGCGAGAGACCGAUAGCGAACAAGUACAGUGAUGGAAAGAUGAAAAGAACUUUGAAAAGAGAGUGAAAAAGUACGUGAAAUUGUUGAAAGGGAAGGGUAUUAGAUCAGACUUGGUAUUUAGUUAUCAUUACUCCUUGUGGGUGGUGCUCUAACUUUUUACUGGGCCAGCAUCAGUUUUGGUGGCAGGAUAAUGACAUUUGAAUGUGGCUCUUCGGAGUGUUAUAGCUUUUGUUGAUACUGCCUAUCGGGACUGAGGUCUGCGGCUUUUGCCUAGGAUGCUGGCGUAAUGAUCCAAUACCGC